rnacentral:rRNA from 1 species
CAGCAGUAGCCGCGGUAAUACGAAGGGUGCAAGCGUUAAUCGGAAUUACUGGGCGUAAAGCGUGCGUAGGCGGUUUGUUAAGUCUGUUGUGAAAUCCCCGGGCUCAACCUGGGAAUGGCAAUGGAUACUGGCAAGCUAGAGUGUGUCAGAGGAUGGUGGAAUUCCCGGUGUAGCGGUGAAAUGCGUAGAGAUCGGGAGGAACAUCAGUGGCGAAGGCGGCCAUCUGGGACAACACUGACGCUGAGGCACGAAAGCGUGGGGAGCAAACAGGAUUAGAGACCCGUGUAGUCCCUGUCUCUUAUAC